rnacentral:rRNA from 1 species
UAGUCAUAUGCUUGUCUCAAAGAUUAAGCCAUGCAUGUCUAAGUACGAGCCUCGGUACACGGUGAAACUGCGAAUGGCUCAUUAAAUCAGUUAUGGUUCCUUUGAUCGUUACCCCUUACUUGGAUAACUGUGGCAAUUCUAGAGCUAAUACAUGCCUACCUCGGCGCUGACCUCGCGGGAUGCGUGCUUUUAUUAGGACCAAGACCGACCCGGUGUCCUGCCUCCUUCGCGGGUGGUGGGCCCGGUCCUCCUGGCGAACUCUGGAUAACUUGGCGGAUCGCACGGCCUCUGCGCCGGCGACGAAUCUUUCGAGUGUCUGCCCUAUCAACUUUCGACGGUACGUUAUGCGCCUACCGUGGUGGCAACGGGUAACGGGGAAUCAGGGUUCGAUUCCGGAGAGGGAGCCUGAGAAACGGCUACCACAUCCAAGGAAGGCAGCAGGCGCGCAAAUUACCCAUUCCCGACACGGGGAGGUAGUGACGAAAAAUAACGAUACGGGACUCUUUGGAGGCCCCGUAAUCGGAAUGAGCACAGUCCAAAUCCUUUAGCGAGGAUCCAUUGGAGGGCAAGUCUGGUGCCAGCAGCCGCGGUAAUUCCAGCUCCAAUAGCGUAUAUUAAAGCUGCUGCAGUUAAAAAGCUCGUAGUUGGAUCUUGGUCCGCGGGCGGGCGGAAGUUCUCCGUACGAGUGGGUCUUCGCUGCCCGUCCCGGACUCUCCUCCGGUCCUCUCCCGGUG